AAGGCUGCGUGCGUGCGUGCGUGCGUGCAUGCGUGUGUCUUUCAUUCGGGAAUUCUGGAACUCAGAACACUGGAGCAUGUCAGAUUUGAGUAGCUUUAAUCACCCAUAGCAACACCAGAGUUCUCAGUGGACCUGAGCAGAUCCCUCCAGUUACCUCAGUAGUGCGCAGCAGUGUGCGGAGAUCCCUGGGGCUCCCUGGAUAUAGCUCUCCUGUUUGUCCACAGAUCUGGCUGCAGUUGUCUUUAGAGAAUAAUGGCCUCCUUUCUUUAGCUCUCCAAAGAAUCAGGCUGUAACUGUCAGCUAUUGCUGACAUACAUCUGCCUGCAUGCCCCCGUGACCCCACUGUGAAGAAGAAGAUGACCUGAGCCACUGAAACUUCACAAAGAGCUCCUGAGUCUCGCUCAUAUGCAAAGGGAAGAUGGUGAGAACGAAGCUUCACUUUGUAGAGAUGAGGACAUCUACACAGGACUCUUCUGAAAGACAAAAAGUCCACCAUUUUAAUUACAGGACUUAAAAUUAACUUGAUAAGCUUCUCCUCCUGCUCCACACUGCUCCCAGCGGCUCCCUGGCUACACUGGGCUGGCUUGGCUGCUGUCCCCAGCCGCCACCACAAUCAUCUACUGGGACCUUAUCAGCCACAACAAGAUGUUCUCUGAUAUCUACAAGAUCCAGGAGACAGAGAAUGGGCUAUGCCUGGAGGAAAGAGGUCAAGACAGUCAGUAGAACAGAGGGUAAUAUUGAUGCCUCAAUACUGGUGGAACUCCUUCUGCUACAGAUAGAGGGCGGAGGUUCUGGAAGCACAGUUGAUGUCAUGAAACCACCACUAACGAGAAAACGGUGACACAAAAGUACAUCAAAGAUGACAUGAAAUAAUUCAAAGGCAAACUUGAAGAACAAACCCAGGAAGAAUGAAACUGUGAACACAGGAAUCCAGAUAGCAUGGUGUUCGCCCAGACUACUGUGAAGAUGGUGUGACUCCAUUUAUGCUUUCUUUAAAGGGUGCUUUAGAGAUGGAAAAAUGUUAACAAAUUGGGCGAUUACUUUGAAUCUAUCAUCUGUCAUCAUAUCUGGCUGGUGUUUGUCACCCAUAUAACACCAGGACUUUAGACAAAUGGGACUGAUGUCAUCUUGAGCUUUUAUUUUGCCCUUGACAUAUUUAGAGUUGAGGUAUUGCUUUGUAAGAAAAUAAAAAAAGAGUCGUUAGGUUGUCUUUAAAUAGAGUGCAUUUAAGCUUAAAAAAUGCAAAGCAAGAUAAAAAUAAGGUCAUGAACUGGUUAGAAUCACAUUUAAUGAUUCACUAGGGCUGGAGAGAUGGCUCAGUGGUUAAGGACACUGCUCUUCCAGAGGUCCUGAGUUCAAUUCCCAGCAACCACAUGGUGGCUCGCAGCCAUCACCAUUUAGAGAUGGAAAAAUGUUCUGGUGUCUUCUGAUGUCUGAAGAAAGCUACAGUGUGCUCACAUACAUAAAAUGAAUAAACUCUUUUAA
rnacentral:sRNA from 1 species